rnacentral:rRNA from 1 species
UACAGAGGGUGCAAGCGUUGUUCGGAAUCAUUGGGCGUAAAGCGCGUGUAGGCGGCUUGGCAAGUCAGUUGUGAAAGCCCGGGGCCCAACCCCGGAAUUGCAUCUGAAACUGCCUGGCUAGAGUCCCGGAGAGGAAGGCAGAAUUCCCGGUGUAGGGGUGAAAUCCGUAGAUAUCGGGAGGAACACCAGUGGCGAAGGCGGCGAUCUGGGAAGAUACUGACGCUGAGGUGCGAAAGCGUGGGGAGCAAACAGG